rnacentral:lncRNA from 1 species
UCCAUGUCCUGCAGAUACAAUGAGUGACAUUUAGUGGGAUGUGACUGUUGAGCCAUACCAGUGUCAAAUCCUUUGAGGUGAAGCAGACAUUAUGGUGGAAGAAUGUGCUGAAGGAAGGUGGCUCAAGACAUCACAUCAAGAAGCAGAGAGCGAGUUCUGCUCAUUAGGGACCCUCGGGGACGUGUCUGUGGGCAGGGAGGGGAUGGCUGGAGGAGGCGGGUCAUGGGGGGUGGCAUCUAUCUGAAAGUGGACCCUCUCGCUGCUUCCUGGGUGCCACACUCCCUGCUCUUCCCCAGCUCACUCGCCCGCCAUGAUGUUCUGCCCCACUUUGAGCCCCAAGGAAUGGAGCCAGCCUUCUAUGGACUGUGAAAUCUGAAACAGUUAGUCCCCAAAUAAACCUUUUCUCCUCUAA